AGCGAACGCUGGCGGCAGGCUUAACACAUGCAAGUCGAACGGGCGUAGCAAUACGUCAGUGGCAGACGGGUGAGUAACGCGUGGGAACGUACCUUUUGGUUCGGAACAACCCAGGGAAACUUGGGCUAAUACCGGAUAAGCCCUUACGGGGAAAGGAUUUAUCGCCGAAAGAUCGGCCCGCGUCUGAUUAGCUAGUUGGUGAGGUAACGGCUCACCAAGGCGACGAUCAGUAGCUGGUCUGAGAGGAUGAUCAGCCACAUUGGGACUGAGACACGGCCCAAACUCCUACGGGAGGCAGCAGUGGGGAAUAUUGGACAAUGGGCGGCAAGCCUGAUCCAGCCAUGCCGCGUGAGUGAUGAAGGCCCUAGGGUUGUAAAGCUC
rnacentral:rRNA from 1 species